GAUGAACGCUAGCGGCAGGCUUAAUACAUGCAAGUCGAGGGGGAUCAUUUUUGUAGCAAUACAAAGAUAUGAGACCGGCAAACGGGUGCGGAACACGUACGCAACCUUCCCAAAACUGGUGAAUAGCCCUCCGAAAGGAGGAUUAAUACACCGUAACAUAAUGAAGUGGCAUCACUUUAUUAUUAUAGCUCCGGCGGUUUUGGAUGGGCGUGCGCCUGAUUAGGUAGUUGGCGGGGUAACGGCCCACCAAGCCUGCGAUCAGUAACUGGUGUGAGAGCACGACCAGUCACACGGGCACUGGGACACGGGCCCGACUCCUACGGGAGGCAGCAGUAAGGAAUAUUGGUCAAUGGACGAAAGUCUGAACCAGCCAUGCCGCGUGAAGGAUGAAGGCCCUCUGGGUUGUAAACUUCUUUUAUCUGGGACGAAAAAAGGCGAUUCUUCGUCACUUGACGGUUCCAGAGGAAUAAGCACCGGCUAACUCCGUGCCAGCCGCCGCCGUAAAAC
rnacentral:rRNA from 1 species